GUGAGGAAUUUUCCGCAAUGGGCGAAAGCCUGACGGAGCAAUGCCGCGUGAAGGAUGAAGGCCUAUGGGUUGUAAACUUCUUUUCUCAGAAAAGAAUUAUGACGGUAUCUGAGGAAUAAGCAUCGGCUAACUCUGUGCCAGCAGCCGCGGUAAGACAGAGGAUGCAAGCGUUAUCCGGAAUGAUUGGGCGUAAAGCGUCUGUAGGUUGUUUAAAAAGUAUUCUGUCAAAGAUUAGGGCUUAACCCUAGAUAGGCAGAAUAAACUUUUAACCUAGAGUUUGGUAGAGGCAGAGGGAAUUCCCGGUGGAGCGGUGAAAUGCGUAGAUAUCGGGAGGAACACCAAAGGCGAAGGCACUCUGCUGGGCCAAUACUAACACUGAGAGACGAAAGCGAGGGGAGCAAAUGGGAUUAGAUACCCGAGUAGUCC
rnacentral:rRNA from 1 species